rnacentral:rRNA from 1 species
UCAAGCUACAAAGGGCACACGGUGGAUGCCUUGGCGCUGGGAGCCGAUGAAGGACGUGGCAAGCUGCGAUAAGCCUCGGCGAGCUGCAAGCAAGCGUUUGAACCGGGGACGUCCGAAUGGGGAAACCCGCCGCGGGGAAUGCCGCGGCAUCCAUGCCUGAACACAUAGGGUAUGGAGGGGAACCGGGGGAACUGAAACAUCUAAGUACCCCGAGGAAAAGAGACAAUAUUGCAUUCCGUGAGUAGCGGCGAGCGAAAGCGGAGGAGCCUAAACCUCAUGCGCGUGAUAGCCUGCAGGCGUUGCGCAUGGGGGGUUGCAGGAGCGGCCGGGGAUCUCUGCAGGGAUCCGUCCGAUGCGAAGUUUCUUAGCCGAACGGCCUGGAACGGCCGGCCACAGGGGGUGAAAGCCCCGUAGGCGAAAGGGAACUUCGGAGGAUGGCCGCCACCUAAGUACCGCGGGACACGUGAAAUCCCGCGGGAAUCCGGGAGGACCACCUCCCAAGGCUAAAUACUACCCGGCGACCGAUAGUGAACUAGUACCGUGAGGGAAAGGUGAAAAGCACCCCGGGAGGGGAGUGAAAUAGUACCUGAAACCGUGUUGCCUACAAACAGUGGGAGGGCUAUGGUCGUAAGACCAGCCUGACCGCGUACUUUUUGUAGAACGGACCGGCGAGUUACGGUGUGCGGCAAGGUUAAGCGGAUGACGCGGAGCCGAAGCGAAAGCGAGUCUUAAUAGGGCGACAAGUCGCGCGCUGUAGACCCGAAACCGGGCGAUCUAUCCAUGGCCAGGGUGAAGCGAGAGUAACGUCUCGUGGAGGCCCGAACCCAUUAGUGUUGAAAAACUAUGGGAUGAGCUGUGGAUAGGGGUGAAAAGCCAAUCGAGCCCGGAGAUAGCUGGUUCUCCCCGAAAUAGCUUUAGGGCUAGCCUCGGGAAUAGGCUUGCGGAGGUAGAGCACUGAUCGGGCAAGGGGCCCUGAAAGGUUACCGACCCCUUUCAAACUCCGAAUGCCGCAAGCUGGUGCCCGGGAGUCAGACUGUGGGGGCUAAGCUUCAUAGUCGAGAGGGAAACAGCCCAGACCGCCGGCUAAGGUCCCAAAUUGACAGCUAAGUGGUUAAGGAUGUGGAACUGCCCAGACAACCAGGAUGUUGGCUUAGAAGCAGCCAUACAUUUAAAGAGUGCGUAAUAGCUCACUGGUCGAGUGGGUCUGCGCCGAAAAUGUCCGGGGCUCAAGCUGUCAACCGAAGCCGCGGAUCUCUGAAUUGGGAUGGUAGGGGAGCGUUGCCUGCUGGUUGAAGCACGACCGUAAGGACGUGUGGACGGCAGGGAAGUGAGAAUGCCGGUAUGAGUAGCGAAAAGGCAGGUGAGAAUCCUGCCCGCCGGAAGCCUAAGGUUUCCUGAGGAAGGUUCGUCCUCUCAGGGUAAGCCGGGACCUAAGCCGAGGCCGAAGGGCGUAGGCGAUGGACAACUGGUUGAGAUUCCAGUGCUGCCUCGAUCACGCUUGAGCGAAGCGGGGACGCAGAAGGGUAGACACAGCAGGCUGAUGGAAUAGCCUGUCCAAGCAAGUGGGGCGCCGCGUAGGUAAAUCCGCGCGGCACGAAGCCCGAGAUGCGAUGGGGUGCGGAUACGUCCGCUGAACUGGUCGAUCCCAAGCUGCCGAGAAAAGCCGCUAGCGAGUGGUCAGGCACCCGUACCGCAAACCGACACAGGUAGGCGAGGAGAGGAUCCUAAGGCGCGCGAGAGAACCCUCGUUAAGGAACUCGGCAAAAUCGCCCCGUAACCUAGGGAGAAGGGGCGCCCCGUUAGGGUGACUGGCUACACGCCAAGAGCCCGAGGGGGCCGCAGAGAAACGGCCCGAGCGACUGUUUACCACAAACACAGGUCUCUGCUAAGUCGCAAGACGAAGUAUAGGGGCUGACGCCUGCCCAGUGCCGGAAGGUUAAGGGGAGGGCUUAGCGGCAACGCAAAGGCCUGAACCGAAGCCCCGGUGAACGGCGGCCGUAACUAUAACGGUCCUAAGGUAGCGAAAUUCCUUGUCGGGUAAGUUCCGACCUGCACGAAUGGCGUAACGACUUGGGCGCUGUCUCAACGAGGGACUCGGCGAAACUGUAAGUGCACGUGAAGAUACGUGCUACCCACGAUUAGACGGAAAGACCCCAUGGAGCUUUACUGCAUCCUGAGAUUGGAUUUUGGCAGGGCAUGUACAGGAUAGGUGGGAGGCGCAGAGACGCGGACGCAAGUCUGCGUGGAGCCGCCCUUGGGAUACCACCCUUGUUUUGCUGGAGUUCUAACCCGCGGCCGUGAUCCGGUCGGGGGACAUUCUCAGGUGGGCAGUUUGACUGGGGCGGUCGCCUCCUAAAAGGUAACGGAGGCGCCCAAAGGUUCCCUCAGCGCGGUCGGAAAUCGCGCAUUGAGUGUAAAGGCACAAGGGAGCUUAACUGCGAGACCAACAAGUCGAGCAGGGACGAAAGUCGGGCUUAGUGAUCCGGUGGCACUGAGUGGAAGGGCCAUCGCUCAACGGAUAAAAGCUACCUCGGGGAUAACAGGCUUAUCUCCCCCAAGAGUCCAUAUCGACGGGGAGGUUUGGCACCUCGAUGUCGGCUCGUCGCAU